UCCGAUAUGGUCUAGUGGCUAGGAUUUGCCGCUCUCAUCGAGAGUAGGUUCUGCAUCGCAGAACCAGCACCGGCAAGGCCCGGGUUCGAUUCCCGGUGUCGGAA
rnacentral:tRNA from 1 species